UAUUAAAGUUGUUGCAGUUAAAAAGCUCGUAGUUGAAUUUCGGGAUCAAUACGUCGGUCGUGCUUCGGUACGUACUGGCGUCAUUGAUUUCUCCCUUCUGACGAACCAUGAUGUCAUUAACUUGGUGUCAUGGGAAAUCAGGACUGUUACUUUGAAAAAAUUAAAGUGUUUAGAGCAGGCAUAAGCUUGAAUACAUUAGCAUGGAAUAAUGAAAUAGGACGUUUGAUCCUAUUUUGUUGGUUUCUAGGAUCAACGUAAUGAUUAAUAGGGAUAGUUGUGGCAUUAGUAUUCAAUUGUCAGAGGUGAAAUUCUUGGAUUUAUUGAAGACUAACUACUGCGAAAGCAUUUGCCAAGGAUGUUUUCAUUAAUCAAGAACGAAAGUUAGGGGAUCGAAGACGAUCAGAUACCGUCGUAGUCUUAACCAUAAACUAUGCCGACUAGGGAUCGGA
rnacentral:rRNA from 1 species